rnacentral:misc_RNA from 1 species
AAAGUCGUAACAAGGUUUCCGUAGGUGAACCUGCGGAAGGAUCAUUGCUAGUGAUUGGGGGGAUAUCGAGAUAUCGAGAGAUGUCAAAGGUAUCUUUUACACAUUUGCGCUUGUUUUGUUUGACAAAGUAAAUUAUAUGAUAUAAAAUGACAACUUUUAACAAUGGAUCUCUUGGCUCUU